CCGUGCUCGGUGCUCGGUGCUCGUGACUCCAGCUCUCUGCCCUCCUGACCUGAAACCCUGAGUUCCACAGAUGCUGAUGGCCUCAGUCAACUCACAGGAAGGUCGGGAUCCCAAGCCUGGACAUGUGUCCUGAACAUGGCUGUACCUGUCAUAUGUCACCCCCUCCAUGGUGCCUUUGGCUGCCUUCCACUUGUUUGAGACAGAGUGCUGUGGAACACGAUCCUUUAGGAGAAAACAAACACCUUUUCAUCAGAUCAGCUGUGUCUGCUUGCAAGAGUCCAUUUCCACAGGGCUUGCUGACUGCUGACACCCCCUCCCAGAAGAUGGGGGUCGGGAGGGGCUGUUGGACCCGAACUCGAGACUCCAGCCAUUUGUCAAGGAGACCCACACACUCUGAAGACCAUCCAAGUCUCAUGACUGUCUUCAUAUAGGUCAGCACCGAGUCAGCCAGAGAUAAAGCUGUGUCCUUCCUGGGACCCUUUUCUCUCUGUUCUCUUUAAAGAGUUAAGUCUCCCAGGCCUUGAUCUUCAGGUCGGGAGCUAGGAUGAAAUCUGUCUACAGUGGCCCCGCCCACCAUGAGCAUCUGCAGGACCACACAAUUGCGACGGGGAUGUUGUAAUCUGAUGAGAAAUAGGAAUUGUGUCUUUGGCUCCUGAGACUGUUACCAUUUCCUGUGCAACUUCAGAGCUGGGGGCAUCUUUUGUCCUCGUGGUGGCUUUCCACUUCCAGCUUUGGACAUGGGGUUCUGGUUCCCUCCUGCCCCACCACCCCGAGUUCCCCGGUAACAGAAGUGUCCCUUGCUCUAAGAAGUGACUCAUGGUGGGCUCCUGUAUAGCUUCAAUAGAAGCUGGUUACCAGCAGGACCGAGCCAUGUUUGGAAGCUUGGGACUUUUCCAGAAAAGGGAGUAGCCAGACAUGAAGUUAGCGGUCCCUCUUGCCAGUGUGGUGCAGCUUCUAGACAGAUUCUUGGGCAGCAGGGCUUGAAAGCUCCUGGACUGAUGAAUACAUAGAGGGCCUAGAAAGGGGGUGCAUGGGGGGUUCAUGUCCCUUCUUCUUCGCCGUGCCCCGUGUAUCCUUUCUAUCAGCUUCUUCAUCUAUAGCUUUUCAAACGUGUGCACUAUACCAGUGGGCACAGGGGCAAUGAUUCCCCUGGGAGCAAUCUAACAAAUGAAUUCAACUCGAGGGGUGUCCUUUGAUGACCUCAAGUAAAGCCACUGGGCCAGGAGCACAGGGCAGGGCCAGGGUCUUACUACGGGCGGGCACCUGAGUCUGGGGGAGGCAGCCUUGGGAGGCUGAGCCCUUAACUUUCAAAAGCCAGCCCUUUCUUUAGAGAGAUGUGUCAGAAAUGGGCUGGGUUAAAGACACACCCUUGGUGGUGUGGUUGGAAUACAACUGGCAGUCACCGACUUGGGUGCUGAAUGUUUGGUCCCGUCUGGUAGUGCUGUUUGGAGAAGUUGUGGAAACUUCAGGAGGUAAGACCUACCUGGAGGAAUGAGCUUUCCUCCCUCUCUUCCGUUUGUCCACUGUGAGGUGAGAACCCUCUCUCUACACGCUCCUCCUACCACGACGACCUGGCCAAGUGCCCAGAGCCAAGCAGCCACCACGGACUGUGAGCCUGGAACUUUGAGCCAAGAUGGAUCUCUUCGUAUGUUGCUUCUGUCCAGGAUUUGCUCGCAAUCAUGCAAAAGUGAUAAAGUUGGCGUCCCCUGGAGUCCUGGCUGUUACUGGAAGAAUGAUCUACAGUUAGCUCUGCCAGUGAACCGCAAAAGCUAUUGGUCUUUCUGUCUCUUACAACAGUCAUUGCAGAGAUGAGACUGCCGGAGUACAAGUGGCUGGGUACCUGAGGGUGCUUUGUACAACCGGACCAGGGUGUGAAAGCAAAUCCCCUAGAACAGUCCAAGGUGGCAGAGUGGCAUUGGACCCUCAGUGUGAUGUUUAGAGUUCAUUGUCAAUGUGACAGGACCUAAAAUCACCUGGGACCUGGGCCUCUGGGCACGCCUGUGGCAGGUUGUCUGGACUAUGUUGACUGACGUGGGAGUCCCAUCUUAACCAUGGGCAGGUCCUGGCUGGGGACCUGGACUGUAGGAUGGGAAAGGCAGCCUGUGUUUAUCUCUCUCCUCCCUGGGCGGAUGGGAUGGGACUGGCUUUCAAGCUCCUGCUGCCUCGAUUUCCCUGUCUUGAUGGACUGUACCCUGAACUACGAUCUAAAAGAAAUGAUUUCUCCCUUAAUGCUUUUGCCAGGGUGUUUAAUGACAGCAGCAAGAAAAGACGCAAAGACACUGGGUGUCUGGGGUCACAAAGCACCUACGGGCUGCAGGCCCGGAAGUCUGAAAUUUCAAGAGAAGCUAAGCAUCUUGACUUUGGACGUGACACUGGUUUUCUGAGACAGGGUCUGUUUCCAAGCCUGGCUCAAAUGUACUUUAUAUUCAGGAUAGCCUUUAAUGUCUGAUCUUCCUGCCUCUCCCUCCUGAGAGCUGGGACCAUAGGCGUGUGCCAUCGUACCCACUUUAUGCAGUGUUGGGGGUGGAACCCAGGGCUUACGCAUGUCAAGCAAGUUUUCUCCCACAUGUGCAGCCUGUGUGUGACACGCCCUUGGUUUCUGCCUCUAAUGCCGGUGAGUUUAAUGAAAGUCUGAGGUUUCUGGCCCACAGGCCUCCUGUUUAUACAACCUAUAAUAUAAAUUAAAUGAGCCUGCAAUAUAAUAUAAAUGAAAAGUUCUCAGACUGCCCUGGAGCCAUGGAUGCUUUGAAAAUGCAAUGAAGGCAUCCACGAAGUGUGAGAAGAUAUUCGCAAUUCAUAAAAUUGUGGACAAAUGAUUUCUAGAACAUACUUUUGAGAAACGACAAUAACAACAACAAAAACACAAUAUGAAUCAACAAACUUUAAAAACCACCCAACAACUUGGCAGACUAGCAAGCAGUUGACUUGUCCCCCUAUAGAAAGGAGGUCCUCUAGGCCAAGAAACAUAGACAAAGGGCUCUGUCUCACUAGUCAUAGAAAACAGGCAGAGUGACUCUGCCGUUGCUGAUCCUCAUCACACCACAGUGGCCAAAAGGAAGACCCCUAACCAGAGCGAGGCAGCUGUGAGGAUGUGGGCACUCCCCAAUUCUCGUGCUGUCCUAGGGUUCUGCACAUAGGUAAGAAUAUUCUGGGAAAAAAUGGUUUGAUUGUUAAUGGUAUCUUUACUAUUUAAGCCUUAAGGGAUAACGAGUUGGCAUGGAGGCACUAAAACUUUGUUGUUUACGUUUAUCUGGUAAAACUGGGUGUGCAUGUGCCCUGUGAUCUCAGGACUCAGGCUGGAUGUGCUUGUCCCCUAUGAUCUCAGAACCCAGGCUGGAUGUGCACGUGCCCUGAGAUCUCAGGUCACAGGCUGGAUGUGCAUGUGUCCUAUGACCUCAGGACCCAGGCUGGAUGUGCAUGUGUCCUAUGAUCUCAGGACCCAGGCUGGAUGUGCAUGUGCCCUGUGAUCGCAGGUCCCACACUCAAUCAUCUUCCUUAGAGAACUCUUGUUCGGACAGCCAAGCCUGAAAGCAGUGUGAAUGCACAGAGGCCAGGUGCUAUGACUGUAUAAACUUUAUACGUAUAGUUAUAGUUAUAUAUAGCCUCAUGAUGGAAGGCUUGUGAGCCAAGAAAAAGAAGAGCCCCAGGCUCCGCUGUCUCCCCCGAAGGAGCUGUGUUUGCAGUGCAAAGCCACGGGGUGGGGAGAGGGCAGGGUGGUUCAGAAGCAAGUGAGACUGAGCAGUGUGUUGUUUUGGAAGAGAUCGAUAGGUGGGAGAAUCAUCUAGAAAGCAAUAAAGGAGCUAGAAGGGUUGGCUCGGCUGCUAAAGGCACUUGCUCUUCCAGGAGACCAGAGUUAAGUUCCCAGCACCAUGUUUGGAGGCUCACUAUAGCCUGUAACUCCAGCUCUAGGGACUCCUGUGUUCUCUUCUGGUCUCCGUGGGCACCCACAUGCUCGUGACCUUUAAGGCAUAUCUUUCACUCCUCAGCUGUUAGCCACCCACCUUGUCUUUUGAGAUGCUGGCCUGUAAAUUACCAACUCAGCUUGACUGUCUAGCCAGAAAGCCUUAUGGAUCUCCCACCUCCAUCUCCCAGCACUGGAUUACAAGAGCAUGCCACCACAUCCAGCUUUUUAAUGUAUGCUCUGGGGAUGGAACUCAGGUCUUCAUGCAUGCCAGGUGAAUACUUCAUGGAUGAGCCAAUCCUCCAUUCCAUUUCAUUAUUCUUUACACAACCCACAGGCCUUAGGUAUGAGCCUCUGUCUGUAUUUACAACAAAGGAAACACGAAGCAAUCUAAUCCCAGGCUGGAGAGAUGGCUCCGAGGGGACGAGCACUGGGUGCUCUUCCAAACAACCUAGUACUUUAAUAGUGGCUGACCUUUUCUAACUCCGGCUCCAGUUCCAGGGGAUCUGAAGCCCUCUUCUGGCCUCUUUGGGUACUUCAUGCAUG